GACGAACGCUGGCGGCGUGCCUAAUACAUGCAAGUAGAACGCUGAAGGAGGAGCUUGCUUCUCUGGAUGAGUUGCGAACGGGUGAGUAACGCGUAGGUAACCUGCCUGGUAGUGGGGGAUAACUAUUGGAAACGAUAGCUAAUACCGCAUAAUAGCAGUUGUUGCAUGAUAACUGUUUGAAAGGUGCAAUUGCACCGCUACCAGAUGGACCUGCGUUGUAUUAGCUAGUUGGUGGGGUAACGGCUCACCAAGGCGACGAUACAUAGCCGACCUGAGAGGGUGAUCGGCCACACUGGGACUGAGACACGGCCCAGACUCCUACGGGAGGCAGCAGUAGGGAAUCUUCGGCAAUGGACGGAAGUCUGACCGAGCAACGCCGCGUGAGUGAAGAAGGUUUUCGGAUCGUAAAGCUCUGUUGUAAGAGAAGAACGAGUGUGAGAGUGGAAAGUUCACACUGUGACGGUAUCUUACCAGAAAGGGAUGGCUAACUACGUG
rnacentral:rRNA from 1 species